UUCCGAGUGGUCCCAAGAGGCGCGGACCCCGAUCGCCUAAAAUUUUUCCGGGCAAUCAAAUACGACCUAAGGAACCAUAGUCACCGCCCGACCAUGAUCGUUCCUCAUUUAUUGCAUUUUUUCGGCCAAAAAACUAGAAUUCCGCUCGAUUACCAUAUUUUUGUGUGCUAUUGCCCAUGCCUUCCGAGUGAGCCGGGCCGCCGGACUCGGAUCGCCUAAAAACUUUUCGGGCAAUCAAUUAGGACCUAAGGAACCAUAGUCACCGCCUCGCCAUGAUCGUUCCUUAUUUUUUGCAUUUUUUGGCCAAAAAACUAGAAUUCCGCCCGAUUCCCAUAUUUUUGUGUGUCUAUCGCCCACGCCUUCCGAGUGGGUCGGGCCCCCAAGGAGCCGGAUCGCCUAAAAAAUUUUCCGGGCCAUCAAAUACGACCUAAGGAACCAUAGUAACCACCCCGCCAUGAUUGUUCCUCAUUUUUUGCAUUUUUCAGCCAAACAACUAGAAUUCCGCACGAUUCCCAUAUUUUCGUGUGCUUUAGCCCAUGCCUUCCAAGGGGUCCCGGGACCUCCUGACCCCUAUCGCCUAAAAUUUUUCCGGACUAUAAAAUAUGACCUAAGGAACCAUAGUAUCCUCCCCGCCAGGAUCGUUCCUCAUUUUUUU
rnacentral:lncRNA from 1 species